AUUGGCUGGGGCUUUAGAUCUGUGGGGAGUCAGAAUGCACCUCUCUGUAGCUAAAUGAAGCUGCCGCUUAAGCCAAAAAGAAAAUGAAGCCGUCAGGCGAACACUUUCAUCAUGGUGCAGCAGGCUUAAAGAGGCAGAAUGGGAGAGUUCAUUAAAGUGUUAUUCAUUAGUAGGAAAUUCCAAGUGAUAGGAGAGGCCAAAGGCACAAUCUUCAGCGUCUCUGCUGUCGCACAUCAUAACUGUCACUCCCAGUGGUCACAAUGCCUGUCUCGAUGUUCGUCUGGUUAGAAUCCCAAAGGUCCUCAGAUCCUGACUCUUUCAAAAUGGUGUGAAACCGUGUCUGUUACCAUAAUACUUAAACACGAAAAAUUUCAUUUCCUUCA